ensembl:lncRNA
UUAAUAAAAAUUCUGUGGCUAUGUAAGUUUGGGAAAUGUUUGGGUCAAAAAGUUAGUUUUUUUUCUUUUUUUUAAAGUACAGGGCUUAUUGGAGCUUUAAAUAUGGUAAUGAGCUUUUGAGGUUUACGAGAAGAGUAUGUGAUAUUAUUUCCUGUUUUAUAGCAAACCAAGAGCCACUGGACACAACAUGCAAAGUAUUGCUCUAGAUCGCAGUCUACAGUGUUUUCUUAGAGAAAAGCUACUUCAUGGCUAAACUGUAGUUUUAUGAUAUGCAAGUGGACAGUGAGGGUACUUGGGAUUGUAUGAAGGGCAACUGGAGACAUGGAGUCUGGGAACCAAGACUAGAAUGAAUGAGUUGAUGGAAAAGACACUGACCCAGUGAGGAUAUGGCAGAAUUGAAUGUCCUAUUUGGAGACUGGAGCCUGGUAACAAAAACUGAGAAUGCUGCAAAGUCUGAUUUUGGGUCCUGAUAGAAAAACAUGACUCCUUAGGGGAGAACUGGAAGUCACACUUACUCUCUUAGGAAUAUAUGAAUUCUAUGUAUAGAAGACUAACCCAGUUCCCAAAUGUGUGACACUGUCAUCAUCUCCUAAUAUCUACUAGGACAAUAAAGAACCGUUUCCUGAGAAUUAUUCAUGACCUGGGCAAGUUGACAAAGACUCGGCAUCUCAGGUGACAGUCCCCAGGAUAUUCUGAGUGUGAAGAAAGAUGACUCACAGUAAAAAACAUCAUCCACUUGGAUCUGAUUCCUCUGACUUGACAGUUAAAAAGGAUCACUCUUCCUGGUUUGGAUCUUGUAGACCUUGAAGUAAGGUGUGUGAUAAAAACAUGAUAUAAAUUCUUGAGGUCAAUGGCCUAGAAAAUAGUCUCUUAGCUGGUCAGCUUUUGCUGUGAGGGGGUGCCCAAUUUUUAUUUUUUUAUUUUUUUAAUGGCAUCAAUCAACUUUUGGAAGUUCUGGGAAAGGAAUCCUCAUAAGUGGACAUUCCUCUUCUCUGGCUUUAUCUUUGGUUGAAAUUCUAUGCUUCUGUGGUUUCUCAUCUGAUUUCUAGUCUGUGGCCAUUUCUUAUCUCCUUUGCUAAAGCAAGAAAGGUCUGUGCGA